rnacentral:rRNA from 1 species
AACGCGAAGAACCUUACCCAGGCUUGACAUGCAGUAGACAGCCCUAGAAAUAGGGUCUUCCUUCGGGACUGCUGCACAGGUGCUGCAUGGCUGUCGUCAGCUCGUGCCGUGAGGUGUUGGGUUAAGUCCCGCAACGAGCGCAACCCUUAUCAUUAGUUGCCAACAUUUAAGGUGGGAACUCUAAUGAGACUGCCUGGGUUAACCAGGAGGAAGGUGAGGAUGACGUCAAGUCCGCAUGGCCCUUAUGCCUGGGGCUACACACGUGCUACAAUGGUCGGUACAGAAGGCAGCGAAGCCGCGAGGCGAAGCAAAUCCCAAAAGCCGAUCUCAGUUCAGAUUGUAGUCUGCAACUCGACUACAUGAAGACGGAAUUGCUAGUAAUGGCAGGUCAGCAACACUGCCGUGAAUACGUUCCCGGGCCUUGUACACACCGAUACUC